AACUGUCUAGUUAUCUGACAUAUUUUUAACACCAAUAUAUUUGCUGAUUGUAUUUCUUGCCUAGGAGAGCGUUUCUCUGUAUAAACGGCAUGAGACAGCCCGGAAGGCCCUAGUGGGAAAGAUACCUGCUGAUUACACACUCCUGUUUCAUAGGGGUCCAGUACCAGCACCAGAACCCAUCAUCAGUGGUCUACAGCAUUUUACAUAUUUAGGAGAAUUACAAAAAGAUUUUGAGUUCGAUGAUGACCAUUUUCUAACUCCUACUGGACCAUA
rnacentral:lncRNA from 1 species